rnacentral:rRNA from 1 species
CAGAGUUUAUCAUGGCUCAGGAUGAACGCUAGCUACAGGCUUAACACAUGCAAGUCGAGGGGCAGCAUCAUCAAAGCUUGCUUUGAUGGAUGGCGACCGGCGCACGGGUGAGUAACACGUACCCAACCUGCCGACAACACUGGGAUAGCCUUUCGAAAGAAAGAUUAAUACCGGAUGGUAUAGUUUUCCCGCAUGGGAUGAUUAUUAAAGAAUUUCGGUUGUCGAUGGGGAUGCGUUCCAUUAGGCA